rnacentral:rRNA from 1 species
ACGCUCGACACCUACGGAAGGCAGCAGUGGGGAAUAUAGCACAAUGGGGGAAACCCUGAUGCAGCGACGCCGCGUGGAGGAAGAAGGUCUUCGGAUUGUAAACUCCUGUUGUUGGGGAAAAAGAGGAUGGUACCCAACAAGGAAGUGACGGCUAACUACGUGCCAACAGCCGCGGUAAUCUGAGCGGGCUGGCAAGGC